GCCGAAGUGGUGAAACUGGUAGACACGCACGCUUCAGAGGCGUGUAGGAGCAAUCCUGUGGGAGUUCAACUCUCCCCUUCGGCACAA
rnacentral:tRNA from 1 species